UAGGGAAUCUUCGGCAAUGGACGAAAGUCUGACCGAGCAACGCCGCGUGAGUGAAGAAGGUUUUCGGAUCGUAAAACUCUGUUGUUAGAGAAGAACAAGGAUGAGAGUAGAAUGUUCAUCCCUUGACGGUCUCUAACCAGAAAGCCACGGCUAACUACGUGCCAGCAGCCGCGGUAAUACGUAGGUGGCAAGCGUUGUCCGGAUUUAUUGGGCGUAAAGCGAGCGCAGGCGGUUUCUUAAGUCUGAUGUGAAAGCCCCCGGCUCAACCGGGGAGGGUCAUUGGAAACUGGGAAACUUGAGUGCAGAAGAGGAGAGUGGAAUUCCAUGUGUAGCGGUGAAAUGCGUAGAUAUAUGGAGGAACACCAGUGGCGAAGGCGGCUCUCUGGUCUGUAACUGACGCUGAGGCUCGAAAGCGUGGGGAGCAAACAGG
rnacentral:rRNA from 1 species